rnacentral:rRNA from 1 species
GACGAAUGCUGGCGGCGUGCUUAACACAUGCAAGUCGAACGGAAAGGCCUCUUUCGGGGGGUACUCGAGUGGCGAACGGGUGAGUAACACGUGAGUAACCUGCCCUUGACUUUGGGAUAACUUCAGGAAACUGGGGCUAAUACCGGAUAGGAGCUCCUGCUGCAUGGUGGGGGUUGGAAAGUUUCGGCGGUUGGGGAUGGACUCGCGGCUUAUCAGCUUGUUGGUGGGGUAGUGGCUUACCAAGGCUUUGACGGGUAGCCGGCCUGAGGGGGUGACCGGCAAAAUGGGGAGGGAGAGAGGGCCAGGACCCCGGGGGGGGGAGGGAGGGGGUAUUUUUGCCAAAGGGGGGGAGGCUGGAUGCGGAAAGGCUUGGGGGGGGAGGAGGGCUUUGGGGUGUAAAACCGUUUUCGCCCUGGAAGAUGCUUUGUGGGAGGGGGGGGGAUAAAAAAGCCCCGGCAAACUAGGUG